UAGGGAAUAUUAGAAAUGGACGAAAGUCUGAUCUAGCAACACCGCGUGUGCGAAGAAGGCCUUCGGGUCGUAAACCUCUUUUCUGAGGGAAGAGACAAGGACGGUACCUCAGGAAUAAGUCUCGGCUAACUACGUGCCAGCAGCCGCGGUAAAACGUAGGAGGCGAGCGUUAUCCGGAAUUACUGGGCGUAAAGCGCGUGUAGGUGGUUUGGUAAGUAGAGCGUGAAAGCUCCUGGCUCAACUGGGAGAGGUCGUUCUAAACUGCCGGACUAGAGGAUGGUAGAGGGAGGUGGAAUUCCGGGUGUAGCGGUGGAAUGCGCAGAUAUCCGGAGGAACACCAGUGGCGAAGGCGGCCUCCUGGACCAUUCCUGACACUCAGACGCGAAAGCUAGGGUAGCAAACG
rnacentral:rRNA from 1 species